rnacentral:rRNA from 1 species
UACGUAGGGCGCAAGCGUUGUCCGGAAUUAUUGGGCGUAAAGAGCUCGUAGGCGGCCUGUUGCGUCCGCUGUGAAAUCCCGGGGCUCAACCCCGGCCUGCAGUGGAUACGGGCUGGCUAGAGGCAGCAGGGAGAAGCGGAAGUUCCGUGUGUAGCGGUGAAAUGCGCAGAUAUCAGGAGGAACACCGGUGGCGAAGGCGGUUCUCUGGGCCUUACCUGACGCUGAGGAGCGAAAGCGUGGGGAGCGAACAGG